UCUGAGCACAUCUCCAGUGUGGGGCAGCACCAUGCUUCACCGAGCAACACUCACUCACUCUCCGCCUGCGCCACCAGCACCGCCACCGGCCCGCAAGGCCACCACAACACGCUCGGCCGCCCGCGGCGAGAGCCUGACAUGGCCCCGGCCCGGCCCUGCCCGAGGCGCCCGGUCAGUCCAGACAAGUUCUGGAGGGAUCCUCACAUUGCUGAUGGCUGAGUAACCUCCCAGUGGAGAAGUGUGCCAGUCUGAGCAGUGUGAUCACAGAAAGGAUGUCUGGCAAGACCAUCAGAGGGUCGUAACCUUUGAACUUCAGUCUACAGGUAGAAGCCAGGGCGGAACUGGCGGCCAUUCAAGUAAAUCAAUGGUGGAUGCAAAACUACCUGUAGUAUCCAAAUGCCAUAAAACAUUUCUGAUGAAAUGACAGGGAUUGACGAGAGCACUGGAGUGUUGGGAGAACAACAGGACGAUCGGGAAGAGGAAGUGGGAAGGUGAACGUCUUAUGCCGACAACAAUGGCAAAGAAAGGACUCGCUACAGACAUUUGACAACACAAACAUAAGAAGGGAUGUCUCCAGGACCCAUCCCUCUGUCUUGGGAUGAAAAGUUGCUUGUACCGGGGACAAAACUUUCAUCUGGUCUGUCCAAAAUAUCUGUACGCCAUGACAUGAAUCCAAUGAAAAUGUAUUGUCUUUAGCUUAAAAUGAUGUAUUUAACAACGAAAAUCAGCUACGUGGGCUUUCUGAUUAUGAAUGGGAUGGGAAGAAAAUAAAGCUGGAGACAGUCCUGGAUGAUAUCAAGAAAAUAAGCUAUACUUUCUUAAAAAGAAUAGGACUGAGUGUAUUUUUUUUCAGUUCUGUAACAAGUUAUGACUUAGUUCUUAUCUAUAUGACAUUUUAGCUUCACCUUAGGCUGACAUAUUUCCCUUGACGUAAUGUUUUCACUCCCAUGGACAUUCCAUGUGUUCAUCUCCAAGCUCAUACUGUGUUCUAUGUUCAAGGGAAAUCAUCUGCAUAAUUCAGCCCCAGGUAAAGUUGUAUUAUCAGUGACCCAUAAAUAUGCAAGUCAAGGUAAUACCGUUGUAUGAGCUAACUCUCCCAUAAGUGGCCAUGAUCCGUUUUGUAAGUCCUCUGACCUCCACUUGGCCGAUUGUUUUCAUUUCAUAAAUUGUCACUCUGUCCCGGUAGGUAGAACAAACAAACACUCCCAGGAGAUCCAUUGUUCUGUGAUUACUAAACAGGACGAUCCUUUGCUUAUGUAAUAACCUGUGCAUAUUUGCUAUAUAUACAGGAGAUAACGCGUUUCCUGUCCAUUGUGUUGGGGCACAUGAAUAUGAAAUUUAUCAGCUUUUGUCACGAAAACAAUGUUAUUCAUAUCAAGGGGAUGUAGAUUUUUGUGUUGUUGCAACAAAUACAUCUGUUGGUAAUGCUGAAUAAUCCUCUGCUUUUGUGUUUUGUAUUCAGCAAAAUUUCUCAGGCACCUUUGUUACGACAGCAAGUCUUUGGUUUCCUGUAGAAAUGUUGAUGAUUAUCUGUUCACCUGGACUCAAAGUAAAGUAAGUUAGUGUAAGUAACUUUUCAGUUAGUCUUGAAGAACUUCUCAAAUGUCAUAAAUGUCAAAUUUUGUGCUGCAUUCACAAAAGAUCAAUCAAUAAAGAUUUUUUAUUUUCUAUA